CACAACUUAAGACCUUUCGAUCCUAGCUUCGACCUUUGACGAUCCUUAACUUCUAGUGAUCCCCUUAAGUAGAUCAUCUGGAAUUAGCCGAUCCUGAUUUCAACCUCAUCUUGACUUUGGCCUUAUGCCUGUCUCAAUCUCUAUGGCAGCUAACAUCCAACAUCUGUCCAAUAUUUAUAAAUGAUCAGAUACCUGAAUUGGUCGAUCUCUGAUUUCAGCCGC
rnacentral:lncRNA from 1 species